rnacentral:pre_miRNA from 1 species
UGAAGAAGAAGAUGAUGAUGAUGAUGAUGAUGAUGAUGAUGAUAUACGUAUGUGUGUGAAUGUAUAUGUUAGUGUGUGUAUGUAUGAAUAUAUCAACGUUUUCAUCAUCAUCAUCAUCAUCAUCAUCAUCAUCAUUA